GAUGAACGCUGGCGGCGUGCCUAAUACAUGCGAGUCGAGCGAACGGACGAGAAGCUUGCUCCUCUGAUGUUAGCGGCGGACGGGUGAGUAACACGUGGAUAACCUACCUAUAAGACUGGGAUAACUUCGGGAAACCGGAGCUAAUAACGGAUAAUAUUUUGAACCGCAUGGUUCAAAAGUGAAAGACGGUUUUGCUGUCACUUAUAGAUGGAUCCGCGCUGCAUUAGCUAGUUGGUAAGGUAACGGCUUACCAAGGCAACGAUGCAUAGCCGACCUGAGAGGGUGAUCGGCCACACUGGAACUGAGACACGGUCCAGACUCCUACGGGAGGCAGCAGUAGGGAAUCUUCCGCAAUGGGCGAAAGCCUGACGGAGCAACGCCGCGUGAGUGAUGAAGGUCUUCGGAUCGUAAAACUCUGUUAUUAGGGAAGAACAGAUGUGUAAGUAACUGUGCACAUCUUGACGGUACCUAAUCAGAAAGCCACGGCUAACUACGUG
rnacentral:rRNA from 1 species